rnacentral:rRNA from 1 species
UACGAAGGGGGCUAGCGUUGCUCGGAAUCACUGGGCGUAAAGGGUGCGUAGGCGGAUCUUUAAGUCAGGGGUGAAAUCCCGGGGCUCAACCCCGGAACUGCCUUUGAUACUGAGGAUCUUGAGUUCGGGAGAGGUGAGUGGAACUGCGAGUGUAGAGGUGAAAUUCGUAGAUAUUCGCAAGAACACCAGUGGCGAAGGCGGCUCACUGGCCCGAUACUGACGCUGAGGCACGAAAGCGUGGGGAGCAAACAGG